UUCUGCUUAUGUUCUGUAAAAGGGUUGGAUCCGACGCCCCUAGAAGGCUACUAUAGGCUCUCCUUCUCAACUCCUACUCAAUACGUCCUCAAAACGGUAACUUGUCGCCUAGAUCCAAGCUUGGGUACACGGGGAAACCCAACUCCUUGGGCGGAUGGGCGGCAAGGCUGAAUGGAGAGNN
rnacentral:ribozyme from 1 species